UUUUGAAUGGAGAGUAAUGUGUGUCAUGGAUGCAGAUGCUUGAUGCGUUGCGGUGUUUGAUGAGGGAGCGGAUGCUCUCAGGUUCAUGAAGAAGGCCUGGCCGUGUGGAAUCUCGGGAAGUGAUUAUAGUUCUGGAUGUGGCGGAGGUGAAUUUCAUUAGAAAUACUCCGUUAAAUUGUGUUUGAUGUCGUGUACCACGUUUUUCUGGUGAAAGACUUUGAGAGACCUCAUGCCUAUUUUAUUAGAAAAGUUGGCUUGGUUGUGGAAGUCUGGCUUGGCUACGGAGAUUGCAGUCUGCUUCAACUUAUGUCAUCCUUGACUGACGAAUCGGUAGAAACUUCGAUUUGCUGAGUAAACUUCGAUUUGAGAUUGCAGCCGGUGCGAGCGAUAGGUAGCUAGCGUUCUUGUCAAGACUCUUCGUAGUUUUCUGUCCUUUUUUCUUUUUAAUCAUUGUUGGUUCAAUGUGAGUAAAGGCGUGCUUAUCUUUCAACGUUUCUUGGAUGGUGUCACAUUCACACUUUCAGCUGCCGGUCAGCGAUCGAAUUAUCAGUUUGAGUGAAUAUUAUGCACAACCACAUUGAGUUGACGGAUGUCCUAAUGUGUUCAUGUCAAACAUCUGUUGUAGGGAUGAAUAUGUGGAUUGUUUCCAACGAAGCGAGAACAAUAAUCAGCUUACUGCAAAUAUUACUGGAAGGCUCAUUACAUUCCAGAAGAGCUAAUGAGCUGUCCAGUAAAUUGAUGGCUCAAUGAAACGUCUCAUACGAGUACUAGCAAUGUGGAUGUCUAAUGAAGAAAAAUGAAGCUUUAGUGUUAAUGCGUUUUAGUUUAAAUUGUGAAUCAAGAGUCACGUCCACCUUGAGUAACGCAGAUGACGGAUGUGUUUUAGAUGGAAACAUAACAGGCUACAUGCAUUUUUUGAUUUUCCCCUCAGAGGCAGCUCUGAGUAGGGGAUUUUGAAGUUGGUUAAGUCAAAAACCAAGAAGGCGAGGUUUUCCAAUGUUCCUUAAGCCAGGGAAGUGUCAUAAGCCAUGUAAACAUGGUGAUAUAAGGGAUUCAGAGGGACUGCACAAUAUUUUUUUCACGAAAUGCAUGCAAACGACUCCAGUUUGCAGAAGUCUACAAUCCAAAAUGAACGAACUGCGUCGAACAGGGGAUGUCUGAUCAGCUGGCUGGUUGUUGCGUUGAAGCUGGCGGACAAGUUGUACAGAAUGCAACUCCUGGAACUCAUUCACCAACAGAUUUUAGCUGUACACGGUGUGCUACCUUUGUGGAGGGCUAGGGCAUUACUGUUUCGACAAUUCCCAUAAGAGCGCGUGUCGGUAGGCGGGUACUGCAACGUUGCCGAACAUCUGGUAGCUCUUACGAUGCAUAUAAAUUGUACUGAAGAGCAGUUGUGCGCUCAUCCGAAGUUACUGUUCAUACAUCUGCUACUCGUCUGUGGGAGGAUGUACAGGAAUGAAGAUUUUACUUCCCCGAUUGCCGAGUAAUUCCUUGAAUGCGUUGCAUGAAUGCCUCAUGUGUCUACAAUCUCCAGGUUUUUGGUAUCCUGCACAAUGUACGCCAUGCUGAAGAUAGCGAGUGACGCGGAUCUCCACACAAUAUUCAACUUCUUCUGGUUUAUGGCUUUGCUACAUAAUUCCGUCAUUGAAGGUAUGAAAAUCUGUAUCAUAAGACCCUGAUACUCGCUCUAUUGGUACAAGCAAAUCCUUCUUUACUUAGAGCACCACAGACAUCUUCACUAGCCUGUGUUAAGGGUCCACAUGUUGCAACUAGGUUUGACCUGCUUGGAAAUUCACGAUACUAGAUGCAAGUGAUUGCGAAGCAAUUGGCAAGAUCCUCCAACAUUUACCAACAACAUGUAAAAAUCUUGUUACUGUUGCCUUGGAAAGAUCAACAACGUUGGUUGUACCAGUAUUGUAACAAUUUUUUGGGUCCACUUAUUGUUGUCAAUGUAGUUUUGUAUACGUGAGCAAUAAAAAAAAUAAAUGUACCGAUACA